rnacentral:rRNA from 1 species
UACGUAGGGUGCGAGCGUUGUCCGGAAUUAUUGGGCGUAAAGAGCUCGUAGGCGGUCUGUCGCGUCGGCUGUGAAAACCCGGAGCUCAACUCCGGGCCUGCAGUCGAUACGGGCAGGCUAGAGUUCGGCAGGGGAGACUGGAAUUCCUGGUGUAGCGGUGAAAUGCGCAGAUAUCAGGAGGAACACCGGUGGCGAAGGCGGGUCUCUGGGCCGAUACUGACACUGAGGAGCGAAAGCGUGGGGAGCGAACAGG